rnacentral:rRNA from 1 species
GACGAACGCUGGCGGCGUGCCUAAUACAUGCAAGUAGAACGCUGAAGGAGGAGCUUGCUCUUCUGGAUGAGUUGCGAACGGGUGAGUAACGCGUAGGUAACCUGCCUGGUAGCGGGGGAUAACUAUUGGAAACGAUAGUUAAUACCGCAUAACAGUAGAUGUUGCAUGACAUUUGCUUAAAAGGUGCAAUUGCACCACUACCAGAUGGACCUGCGUUGUAUUAGCUAGUUGGUGGGGUAACGGCUCACCAAGGCGACGAUACAUAGCCGACCUGAGAGGGUGAUCGGCCACACUGGGACUGAGACACGGCCCAGACUCCUACGGGAGGCAGCAGUAGGGAAUCUUCGGCAAUGGACGGAAGUCUGACCGAGCAACGCCGCGUGAGUGAAGAAGGUUUUCGGAUCGUAAAGCUCUGUUGUAAGAGAAGAACGAGUGUGAGAGUGGAAAGUUCACACU